CCUACGGGAGGCAGCAGUGGGGGAUAUUGCACAAUGGGGGGAACCCUGAUGCAGCGACGCCGCGUGGGUGAAGAAGCGCCUCGGCGCGUAAAGCCCUGUCAGCCGGGAAGAAAAUGACGGUAUCUGAAGAAGAAGCCCCGGCUCACUACGUGCCAGCAGCCGCGGUAAUACGUAGGGGGCCAGGGUUAUCCGGAUUUACUGGGUGUAAAGGGGGCGCAGACGGGGAUGCAAGCCAGGAGUGAAAGCCCGGGGCCCAACCCCGGGACUGCUGUUGGAACUGCGUGGCUGGAGUGCAGGAGAGGAAGGAGGAAUUCGUGGUGUAGCGGUGAAAUGCGUAGAUAUCAGGAGGAACACCGGUGGCGAAGGCGGCCUGCUGGACUGCAACUGACGUUGAGGCGCGAAAGCGUGGGGAGCAAACAGGAUUAGAUACCCUUGUAGUC
rnacentral:rRNA from 1 species